rnacentral:rRNA from 1 species
UACGAAGGGGGCUAGCGUUGCUCGGAAUCACUGGGCGUAAAGGGUGCGUAGGCGGGUCUUUUAAGUCAGGGGUGAAAUCCUGGAGCUCAACUCCAGAACUGCCUUUGAUACUGAGGAUCUUGAGUUCGGGAGAGGUGAGUGGAACUGCGAGUGUAGAGGUGAAAUUCGUAGAUAUUCGCAAGAACACCAGUGGCGAAGGCGGCUCACUGGCCCGGAACUGACGCUGAGAUGCGAAAGCGUGGGGAGCAAACAGG